rnacentral:rRNA from 1 species
AUCGAUAAUUCACGUUAANUUUUACUUUAAUCUAAAAUCUAUAUACCGCCAUCUCAAGAAUUAAUUAAAAUAUAUUUUUCAAAAAAACAAAUAAAAAGUUAGGUCAAGGUGUAAUUAACAUUAAAGAAUGAGAUGAAUUACACUAAAUAUUAUUUAAAGAUUAUAUAUAAAUAUAUCUAUAUAAAUAAGGAUUUAAAAGUAAUAUUAAAACAAUAUUAUAAUAUGAUUUAGAAAAAAAAUGUGCACACAUCGCCC